rnacentral:rRNA from 1 species
UACGUAGGGUGCAAGCGUUGUCCGGAAUUACUGGGCGUAAAGCGUGCGCAGGCGGUUUUGUAAGCCAGAUGUGAAAUCCCCGGGCUUAACCUGGGAAUGGCAUUUGGGACUGCAAGGCUGGAGUGCGGCAGAGGAGACUGGAAUUCCUGGUGUAGCAGUGGAAUGCGUAGAUAUCAGGAGGAACACCGAUGGCGAAGGCAGGUCUCUGGGCCGUAACUGACGCUGAGGAGCGAAAGCGUGGGGAGCGAACAGG